GCACACUUGCCGGAGUGGUUUAAGGCGCUGUACUCAAGAUCCAGUAUCAAAAGAUGCUUGAGUUCGAGCCCCACAGUGUGCA